AGCGCUUCUAAGAUCUAGUGUAGUAUUUGUUCUUAUUAGUUUGAUAUCUAAUACAUCUUCUUUGAGAGGACUACAUAUUACAUAGAUUUUUAGAACAGUGAGACAGAAGAGGAACUUGCUCUGUCCACCAUACAACCUGGUAUUGCAGUACCCCCAGGAAUGGUGCACCUCUU
rnacentral:snRNA from 1 species